GGGCCCAUAGUUUAGUGGUAGAACGUCCGUCUCCAAAACGGAUAGCCGAGGUUCGAGUCCUCGUGGGCCCGCCU
rnacentral:tRNA from 1 species